rnacentral:misc_RNA from 1 species
CCAAUAGCGUAUAUUAAAGUUGUUGCAGUUAAAAAGCUCGUAGUUGAACUUCGGGGUUUACCCAUUGGUCAGGCUUAAUUGUCUGUACUGGUGAGAUAAAUCUCUACCUUCUGAGGAACUUUCAUGUCAUUAAUUUGGUGUGAUUGGAAAUCAGGACUGUUACUUUGAAAAAAUUAGAGUGUUUAAAGCAGGCUAACGUCUGAAUACAUUAGCAUGGAAUAAUGAAAUAGGACGGACUGAUUCUAUUUCGUUGGUUUCUAGGAUCACCGUAAUGAUUAAUAGGGAUAGUUGGGGGCAUUAGUAUUCAAUUGUCAGAGGUGAAAUUCUUGGAUUUAUUGAAGACUAACUACUGCGAAAGCAUUUGCCAAGGAUGUUUUCAUUAAUCAAGAACGAAAGUUAGGGGAUCGAAGACGAUCAGAUACCGUCGUAGUCUUAACCAUAAACUAUGCCGACUAGGGAUCGGACGAAGUUAAUUUUAUAAUGACGCGUUCGGCACCUUAUG